AAGUUUUUAGUAUAAGAUGUUAUAAAUAAUUGCAAAUUAUUAGAUAAAAAACUUU
rnacentral:tRNA from 1 species